CCCUUAGAUGUUCUGGGCCGCACGCGCGCUACAAUGAUGAAUUCAACGAGUUUAUAACCUUGGUUGAAAAGCCUGGGUAAUCUUUUGAACUUUCGUCGUGAUGGGGCUAGACCCUUGCAAUUAUUGGUCUCCAACGAGGAAUUCCUAGUAAACGCAAGUCAUCAGCUUGCAUUGAUUACGUCCCUGCCCUUUGUACACACCGCCCGUCGCACCUACCGAUUGAAUGGUCCGGUGAAAUCUUCGGAUUGAGACUUUGAUUUGUUUACUCAGAACGCUGUUUCAAGAAGUUGAUUAAACCUUACCAUUUAGAGGAAGGUGAAGUCGUAACA
rnacentral:rRNA from 1 species